AGCUCCAAUAGCGUAUAUUAAAGUUGUUGCAGUUAAAAAGCUCGUAGUUGGACUUGUGCACGUCCUUGAUGUCCUUUUUGGUACGUUUGGGGAUGUGCAUCCUUGGGUGGAACCUGUGUGGCAUUAGGUUGUCGUGCAGGGGAUGCUCAUCGUUUACUGUGAAAAAAUUAGAGUGUUCAAAGCAGGCUUACGCCGUUGAAUAUAUUAGCAUGGAAUAAUAAGAUAGGACCUUGGUACUAUUUUGUUGGUUUGCGCACCGAGGUAAUGAUUAACAGGGACGGUUGGGGGUAUUCGUAUUCCAUUGUCAGAGGUGAAAUUCUUGGAUUUUUGGAAGACGAACUACUGCGAAAGCAUUUACCAAGGAUGUUU
rnacentral:rRNA from 1 species